UACGGGGGGGGCAAGCGUUGUUCGGAAUUACUGGGCGUAAAGGGCUCGUAGGCGGCCAACUAAGUCGGACGUGAAAUCCCUCGGCUUAACCGGGGAACUGCGUCCGAUACUGGCGGGCUUGAGUUUGGGAGAGGGAUGCGGAAUUCCAGGUGUAGCGGUGAAAUGCGUAGAUAUCGGGAGGAACACCUGUGGCGAAAGCGGCAUACUGGACCAUAACUGACGCUGAGGCGCGAAAGCUAGGGGAGCAAACAGG
rnacentral:rRNA from 1 species